rnacentral:ncRNA from 1 species
UGACGCUGUGAGACGCUGGGGCGGUACCGGAGCCGCAGGAAGCUGGUGCGAGUCCAGCGCGGUCCCGCCACUGUGAGUCCGAUCGUGAUCGGGCGAGUCAGGAACUGCCCCGGUGCGUCACAGCCGC